rnacentral:rRNA from 1 species
GAUGAACGCUGGCGGCGUGCCUAAUACAUGCAAGUCGAGCGAACAGACGAGGAGCUUGCUCCUCUGACGUUAGCGGCGGACGGGUGAGUAACACGUGGAUAACCUACCUAUAAGACUGGGAUAACUUCGGGAAACCGGAGCUAAUACCGGAUAAUAUAUUGAACCGCAUGGUUCAAUAGUGAAAGACGGUUUUGCUGUCUCUUAUAGAUGGAUCCGCGCCGCAUUAGCUAGUUGGUAAGGUAACGGCUUACCAAGGCAACGAUGCGUAGCCGACCUGAGAGGGUGAUCGGCCACACUGGAACUGAGACACGGUCCAGACUCCUACGGGAGGCAGCAGUAGGGAAUCUUCCGCAAUGGGCGAAAGCCUGACGGAGCCACGCCGCGUGAGUGAUGAAGGUCUUCGGAUCGUAAAACUCUGUUAUUAGGGAAGAACAAAUGUGUAAGUAACUAUGCACGUCUUGACGGUACCUAAUCAGAAAGCCACGGCUAACUACGUG